AACCUGCUGGGGAUCCUGAGCGUACUGGGCUGGAGCCUGUGCGUACUGGUACUGGGCUUGAGGUGCCGCGUACGAGCCAGUAGGGGUGUAGGUCACGCUUGGAGCUGCAUAGCUGGCUGCUGCAUAGGUGGCCACAGGGCUGGCGAAGGCUGGCACCGGAGCAAGCUGCGGCAGCUGGCCCAUGCCCAUGGCCU
rnacentral:SRP_RNA from 11 species